UGAGGAAUAUUGGACAAUGGGUGAAAGCCUGAUCCAGCCAUCCCGCGUGAAGGACGACGGUUCUAUGGAUUGUAAACUUCUUUUAUAUAGGGAUAAACCUACUCUCGUGAGGGUAGCUGAAGGUACUAUAUGAAUAAGCACCGGCUAACUCCGUGCCAGCAGCCGCGGUAAUACGGAGGGUGCAAGCGUUAUCCGGAUUUAUUGGGUUUAAAGGGUCCGUAGGCGGGCUUGUAAGUCAGUGGUGAAAUCUCACAGCUUAACUGUGAAACUGCCAUUGAUACUGCAGGUCUUGAGUAAGGUAGAAGUAGCUGGAAUAAGUAGUGUAGCGGUGAAAUGCAUAGAUAUUACUUAGAACACCAAUUGCGAAGGCAGGUUACUAUGUCUUAACUGACGCUGAUGGACGAAAGCGUGGGGAGCGAACA
rnacentral:rRNA from 1 species